GACGUAGGAGGCGAGCGUUGUCCGGAGUACUGGGCGUAAAGCGUGCGCAGGCGGUUAUGUAAGACAGGUGUGAAAUCCCCGGGCUUAACCUGGGAACUGCAUUUGUGACUGCAUAGCUAGAGUACGGUAGAGGGGGAUGGAAUUCCGCGUGUAGCAGUGAAAUGCGUAGAUAUGCGGAGGAACACCGAUGGCGAAGGCAAUCCCCUGGACCUGUACUGACGCUCAUGCGACGAAAGCGUGGGGAGCAAACGAGG
rnacentral:rRNA from 1 species